UGAGGAAUAUUGGUCAAUGGGCGAGAGCCUGAACCAGCCAAGUAGCGUGCAGGAUGACGGCCCUAUGGGUUGUAAACUGCUUUUAUGUGGGGAUAAAGUGCGUGACGUGUCAUGCAUUGCAGGUACCACAUGAAUAAGGACCGGCUAAUUCCGUGCCAGCAGCCGCGGUAAUACGGAAGGUCCGGGCGUUAUCCGGAUUUAUUGGGUUUAAAGGGAGCGUAGGCUGUCUAUUAAGCGUGUUGUGAAAUUUACCGGCUCAACCGGUGGCUUGCAGCGCGAACUGGUCGAGUUGAGUAUGCAGGAAGUAGGCGGAAUUCAUGGUGUAGCGGUGAAAUGCUUAGAUAUCAUGACGAACUCCGAUUGCGCAGGCAGCUUACUGUAGCAUAACUGACGCUGAUGCUCGAAAGUGCGGGUAUCAAACAGG
rnacentral:rRNA from 1 species